GGCCUGCAGCUGGGGUCAGGGCACGGGCUCGCCUGCACAGCCCCCAUCCCUGGCCCUCUGUCUCCGGCCCCAGCCCCCUAGGUGUGCCCCAGGACCUCGCAUCCCACCAGCCGACGCAUUCCUUCUCCAAAGAGGGACACAGAGCCACUCCUCCUACCUUGCUCAGAACCGUGAGGCCUCGUGUCCCUCUGCUGGCAGGUAGCUGCUGGAGGCCCACCGGGUAACCCUGUCCCCGAACUGGAAGCCUUCCUGGUCGGCGGGGGGAGUCCUCCAAGCGACCCCCAGCAGAAGGAACCGGAGGUUGAUGUGGAACAGAGCAGCACGUCCAUCUGCAGUGAAGCAAGUGUCAGUACUCUGUCCUCAUGGGAAGUUGCUCCACGGUGCAUGGAUCAUGUGUGUUGACCGUCCGUCCGUCCUGUCCACACUGGAAUAUGUCUGCAUUUUGCUGUCAUACUAGUGCUGUGAACAUACGUGGCAAAUGUGGUCUAGGACCUGUUCUCACCUCUCCCAGGUGGACCCUAGGUGUGGAAUCCACAGGACUGUGUUCUGCCUCCCAAGGGGCCCCCACAGCAGCUGCACCACCUCAUGCCCCUCCAGCAGCCUGGGGGGCUCACCUCUGCAUCCGCACACCAUUGUCCUCCAUCCAACGGGCAGUAGCCCUUCCAGGGGGCGAGGUGGGUGCCUCGGGGCUCCCACCUCCCUUUCCCUGGUGGCAGUGCUCGGAGCCUCCAGUCAUGCACCUCUCAGCCACGUCCCUGUGGACAAUGCAUGCCGCCGACCACUUGUGACUGGGCUGUCUGUCCGCGAUCGAGUCAUGUACUCUCGCAUGCCUGUGUGCCAGGCCCCACAUCAGUUGAGUCACAAGUAUUUUCAUAUGCUUUGAGGGUUGUCGCUUCCUGGUCUCCAUGGUGCCCCUAAACACAGCCUUUUAAUUCUGAUCCA